rnacentral:rRNA from 1 species
CCUACGGUGGGCAGCAGUGAGGAAUAUUGGUCAAUGGGCUCGAGCCUGAACCAGCCAAGUAGCGUGAAGGAUGACUGCCCUACGGGUUGUCAACUUCUUUUAUAAAGGAAUAAAGUGAGGCACGUGUGCCUUUUUGUAUGUACUUUAUGAAUAAGGAUCUGCUAACUCCGUGCCAGCAGCCGCGGUAAUACGGAGGAUCCGAGCGUUAAAAGGAUUUAUUGGGUUUACAGGGAGCGUAGAGGGGUUGUUAAGUCAGUUGUGAUAGUUUGCGGCGCAACCGUAAAAUUGCAAUUGAUACUGGCAGCCUUGAGUACAGUUGAGGUAGGCGGAAUUCGUGGUGUAGCGGUGAAAUGCUGAGAUAUCACGAAGAACUCCGAUUGCGAAGGCAGCCUACUAAACUGCCACUGACAUUGAUGCUCGAAAGUGUGGGUAUCAAACAGGAUUAGAUACCCGGGUAGUC